rnacentral:piRNA from 1 species
UGCAGAGGAAGCCUACGACUUAGAAAU